GAUGAACGCUAGCGGGAGGCUUAACACAUGCAAGUCGAGCGGGAUUUACCUUCGGGUAAUGAGAGCGGCGCACGGGUGAGUAACGCGUAUGCAACCUACCUUUUACAGGGGAAUAGCCCAGGGGAAACUGGGAUUAAUGCCCCAUAGUACUUAUUUGUCGCAUGGCAGAUAAGUUAAAGCUAGGCGGUAAAGAUGGGCAUGCGUGACAUUAGAUUGUGGCGGGGUAACGGCCCACCAAGUCUUCGAUGUCUAGGGGUUCUGAGAGGAUGAUCCCCCACACUGGUACUGAGACACGGACCAGACUCCUACGGGAGGCAGCAGUGAGGAAUAUUGGUCAAUGGGCGGAAGCCUGAACCAGCCAUCCCGCGUGAAGGAAGACUGCCCUAUGGGUUGUAAACUUCUUUUCUGUACCAAGAACGACCUUUACGUGUAGAGGAGUGACGGUAGUACAGGAAUAAGCAUCGGCUAACUCCGUGCCAGCAGCCGCGGUAAUACGGAGGAUGCGAGCGUUAUCCGGAUUCAUUGGGUUUAAAGGGUGCGUAGGCGGCAUAAUAAGUCAGUGGUGAAAUCCUGCGGCUCAACCGUAGAACUGCCAUUGAUACUGUUAAGCUUGAAUACAUUUGAGGUAGGCGGAAUGAGUAGUGUAGCGGUGAAAUGCUUAGAUAUUACUCAGAACACCGAUUGCGAAGGCAGCUUACCAAACUGAUAUUGACGCUGAGGCACGAAAGCGUGGGGAUCGAA
rnacentral:rRNA from 1 species